CCAUUCUGCACUUAGGUCAGUGUUUGUUGCUGCCCUGCUUUGCAUGAAGUGACACGCCCGCCUGCUUCACACAGAUUAGGAAGAGGAGGUAACAGAGCCCUGGCUGAGUUUUUUGGACCUCAGUUAGCAACUUAUUCAUAGAUCCUGUUAAAUCUUUUUUGUCCCUUCUCCCCCAGAUCUCAACUUGUUUGCCAAGCAUGAAUUUGUCACUCUCUCUUGGCUUGCUCUCACAAUCCCCCCCUGUCUAAGCCCUCGCUCCCUGCCCGUCUGCACACUGUGAUACCUGCAGCACCGCACAGUCUGCCGGUCAGCACCAGUGUGACGUUUUGUGUCGGGACAUCGACGCCGUGGGUUGAUUUUAAUUGUGACGAACGGCGGCGUGCGCGAAACGAGGCUCGGUUGAAUAAUAUCAUGCCUGUGGGGGCUGAAGUGGUCAUCUUCAGGAAACUGUGGGGAGGGGAGGAGAGCAGCAGAUGGAGCGAGAGAGCCCAGCUGCCUAAUGAGGUCUCACUUGUGGCAGUCAGCGUGAAGAAGACGACCCUGCUUUCUUUUGCUUUCCCUCAAAAAGGGAGCAGCCCUAAGAUCUAUUUCAUGCUCUAUUUUUACUCCUGACUUUUACUCCAAUAUUAGCACAAUGGCCUAGUUUUUAAAUGCUUUAAUAGUGCAAGUCUGUCUCUAUUAAUGAAAAUCUGACAAUGUUGUCUGCCUAUCAAAUGGUGUUCAGAUGGGGCAACUAAGUCCAGCGUAUAUAAAGAGCAGCUUCUUGUGUGUGUGAGCUCUUUCACUUGCUUCUUGUAUCCACAUAUCCACACACCUGUUCUCCUUCACUGUGCAUUGUCUAGUAUCUGGUUUUAUUUAGUUUUCACACCCCUCUCUUUUCCCACAGCACCCACAAACAUCUUUACAUAAUUGUUUUUGAGCCACAUACCCACACAGCCUACUGAAAUCUUCUUCUUUUUUAGGAAAAUGUUUCUGUUCGUCCUCAACAAACUGUAAUUGCUAUGGAAACAAAGCAGGCCUAUAUGUCCCUCCUCUCCAACCAGUUUUCAUUCAGAUGAAUUUUGAAAUCGCCAUGAAAUAGUGCUGUGGGAGGGGGCUGCCGGUUUGCUUAUGCGCUCCUGGCUGAUCAUUUUUUUCCCAGUAGGUGAUGAGACGGACUGAUCUAGCUGUUCAAGCAACCUUCUAGCUACAUUUUCGCCUGUUUAUCGAAGACGUUUGCUAGAGAUUCUCGUCUAGACGCUUCCUUUCGCGCGACAUCUUCCUUUUUUUGUCAACUUUACCGGGUCGAGAGGAUGCGUAAAGUUUGGGAAGACUUCCCUCGGAUCUCUGCGUCUGAUCAGCACAGAGUAGUUUCUGAUCACUUAGCUGCCGGUUUGUCUGAUGAGAACGAAUUUCGAUGUUGAUAGAAAAUUGCAAGGUUUGAACCCGUUGGAUUUUUUCGCUCUCAGAGUUUAGAAACGCGCACACGUUAAAAGUUGUCCAGAGCUGAUUUUACGCACGGUUAAACAGAUGGAUAACUGAGGGUUUUUUUUUUUUGCAGUCUGAGCACCUGAAUCAUCGUUAAGUACAUGGAAGAUUUUCCUGAAACAUAAGCCAACUGAAUGCUAUAAUCCCUUUUUCUCUCUUGUGGAUAUGGAGCGAUAGGAAUCUGUAACUUUUUGGGGGAAUUUUGGCGCUCGACAAGCUGUCAGUGGAUUGAAGAAUGGCUCGGUUUGGAGACGAGUCCGCUCCCACCACGGUGGACUCCGGGGAUGGGGACUUGGAGCGCGGCGGCGACGGACAGGACGCGGCGGCGGCUGGACUCACGGCUUCCAUGAAACAAGCC